rfam:Taeniopygia guttata chromosome 26, whole genome shotgun sequence.
GCAGCAGGAGCACUGAUGCCCGUCGUGCUGAGUGUCCAUCCCUGGCAGUGCUGUGGCAGUAAAAUCAAGUUAACCCAGAGCAGAGGGCAGGGGGAUGGGCCUGGCACCCUCCUUCCCAGCCCCUGUGGAAGGAAAUGUUGGUGUUUCUGCUUCUGACCAACAUUUUCCAUCUCAAGCUCCACAAGAAGCUGAA